ACAGAGGGGGCUAGCGUUGUUCGGAAUUACUGGGCGUAAAGGGCGCGUAGGCGGCCUUCUAAGUCGAACGUGAAAUCCCCGGGCUCAACCCGGGAACUGCGUCCGAUACUGGGAGGCUUGAAUCCGGGAGAGGGAUGUGGAAUUCCAGGUGUAGCGGUGAAAUGCGUAGAUAUCGGAAGGAACAUCAGUGGCGAAGGCGACACCCUGGACCGAUACUGACACUGAGGCGCGAAAGCGUGGGUAGCGAACAGGA
rnacentral:rRNA from 1 species